GCCAAGGCAUAAUGAGACACUCAUCUAGAAAGAAAUGUAAGUGUGAAAAGUAUCAAAAAACUAAGGGAUUGAAUAGAACUGUGGACUAUUUUCAACCCAGGAGAUCUGUUAUGAAAGUUUAUUUGUGGAGCACAAGAACUGGAGUCCAGAGAAUCCUUUGGCUCAGAGAAGAGAUUUUAAGGAAGAGUGAUCAGGGAAAGGUGCCUAAUAUAUUCUUUCAAGGUGCUCCUACAGCCAUCAGACUUGAAUCCAGUUUUGAUGUCAUCUCAAGAUAUCCAUCUAUUCCAGUUGACAUCAGAGAAUGAAGGCUGUUCCAGUUCAUCUCCCUGUCCUCGUUCACAAGAAAGUCUGUGAAGCUGGAAAUCCUGAGGACUUCAUCAUUCCAUGAUCUCCUACGCACACUGCAUUGCUCUUGCUUCCUGACACUGGUUCAAAUGGGACUUGAAAAUCAUCCAUGAAGAACUAACAAUGGACUGACCAAAGGGAUACGGAAUAUUUGUGCAUCAGUACAUGAGGAUACCUCUCUGCAGUGCUCACAAGACUCAAUAAGAAUGGCGGUCAUC